UACGUAGGUGACAAGCGUUGUCCGGAUUUACUGGGCUUAAAGCGCGUGUAGGCGGGACGGCACGUCGGUCGCUGAAAGCCCCCGGCUCAACCGGGGAACGGGCGCCGAUACGACCGGCCUGGAGGGACGUAGGGGGACCUGGAACUUCCGGUGGAGCGGUGAAAUGCGUUGAGAUCGGAAGGAACGCCCGUGGCGAAAGCGAGGUCCUGGACGUUUUCUGACGCUGAGACGCGAAAGCCAGGGGAGCGAACGGG
rnacentral:rRNA from 1 species